CGUCUGGUGGAUCAGAUGGAGGAACGGGGCAUUGUCGGCCCCUUCGAGGGUUCCAAGCCCCGUCAGCUGC
rnacentral:tRNA from 1 species